AUAUAUAUAUAUAUGUGUGUGUGUUUGUUCCUUCUCAAGCCAAUCCUGGCUCAUAGGGCCAGUUUCCCGGUUUCCUUGGCGUAUAAGUUCCCCACUUGGAUGGGAUGCCGGUCUGUUGCAGGUGAGCUGCAAGAUGCAGGAGGAAAGAGUGAGAGAAAGUUGUGGUGAAAGAGUCAGCAGAAGUU